UACGGAAGGUCCGGGCGUUAUCCGGAUUCAUUGGGUUUAAAGGGAGCGCAGGCGGAGAUGUAAGCCAGCCGUUAAAUCGCGCCGCUCAACGGCGUUCUGCGGUUGGAACUGUGUCUCUUGGGUGCACAAGAGGAAGGCGGAAUUCGUGGUGUAGCGGUGAAAUGCAUAGAUAUCACGAAGAACUCCGAUUGCGAAGGCAGCCUUCUGGGGUGUUACCGACGCUCAUGCUCGAAGGUGCGGGUAUC
rnacentral:rRNA from 1 species